UUGGCCGCCGCCCCCCUGCCCAUCUCCUCCUCUCUCAAUUCUUGCAGCCACCAAACCCUAGCCCCCCCCCUCUCAAUCCCCUCCUCCCAAGGUGCCAAUCCUUGCCGCUCGGAUCAUCGUCGUCGUGGUGCGAGUCUUCAAUCGUUUUGGUGGAGAGAAGAAGGGAGGAAGGAAAGGGGGAGAAUCCAAGGUGAUUUUUGUGUUCAUCCCUUGUUCAUUUGCGCUGCAAUUUAAUUGAUUAGAGGUUGCGUUUGCGAUUGGGGUAGAGGGGGGCUGUCCAGAAUUUUAGGUGGUGGGUGAACAGCAGUAGUCAAGCAGUUUCUGUGUUUUUUUCGUGAGGAAUUAAGGGAAAUCAGUUUGGGGAUCAUGUAGAACUUUACCUUACCUUUCCAACGAGUAUUUAUGCGCUCAAUUUGGAGUUAUAAAUUGAAAGUUAUCACCGUUUGAAUCCGGGUAUGUGGCUGUCCAAAAAAACAGAUUUUUCAGGGGGAUGAACAGCAGCAGUAUUAGCAGUUUCUGGGAAUUUUUCGUGGGUAAUUAGUGUUAAUCAGUAUGAGAAUCAUGUAGGUCUUUAUGUUAUCUUUCCAACAAGUACUUAUGCGCUCGAUUCGGAGUUAUAAUUCAGGAGAUAUCGUUGUUUGAAUCCGGUUAUGUUGCUGUCCAAAAAAACAGAUUUUUCAGGUGGGUGAACAGCAGUGGUAUUAGCAGUUUCUGGGAAUUUUUCAUGGGUAAUUAGUGUUAACCAGUAUGGUAAUCAUGUAGGGAUUUGUCUUAUCUUUCCAAUGAGUACUUAUGCGCUUGAUUUGGAAUUAUAUUUUAAAAGAUAUCGCUGUUUGAAUCUGGGUAUGUCGCUGUCCAAAAGACAAAGAAAAACAGAUUACAGGGUUCAUCUUGUGGACUGUUUUGGGCUAAUUAGAUAUUGGAAUUUAAUUAUAAAUUUUAUACAAAACUUGUGGGGAAUUUUAUGUAGAUGCCUCUGGAGUUUUUGUUUGUUACCACUGCUAUCAUAAUUUUAAAGUUAUGAAAUUAUUAAGCAGCGCCGCUGCAGUUUGGUGGGUGUAGGGAGAGAUGUAACCCGCGGCGGGGUUUGAGUUUGUGCGUAGGUGCGGCGUCGCUUAUGAGCCUGAUUAUGUGAAAGUGGUGUAGUAAGUUGGGUGUCAAAAACAGGUGGUAGACUUCCGGAUUGUACUUAGGGAUUUGCCCGAACUUCUGGUAAAGGCAAGUAAAUACAGUGGUGGUUGCUACCGUUUGGUUUGCAUCCUAUUCCCUGUCAUUGAGUAUGCAUAAGUUUUAAUUAUGUUAAUCAUUGAAUUCUAUGAUGAAGUUUAUUUGUUUGGAAGUAUUAAUUCUCAAUUGUCUAAUAUUGUGGAUGAUCAUAAUUUGGUAAUGAUAUAUGUGGUUGAUUCCCAUCUGGAUGAAGUUGAAGUGUCUUUUUGAAUCAUGUUAUAUGAAGUGUUGUAGGCAUGACAUGCACAUCGCAUCAUCCAUCUUGCAUUUUGAAGUUAUGUCGUGAUCUUAUGGUCCGACCGUACCGGUACAUUUUUAGCAUCGUACGUUGCCCGAGGAGGGGUACGAUGCGGCUUCAUAUCCUUAGAGGUAUGAAGGCAGAAGUUAUCCUUGCAUUUGCAGACAUUUGCACUCAUGAGGAAUAUAUGAAGUGUGACAUUACUAUGUUACUAUUGUGGUUUCUACCUGCGAGGUGUGGUAACUAGGUGCGUUGUACGUUGUAUACGUGCUGCACCUUCGUAAUAAGAAGGUUGUGGAAUUAAGUGGUGGUAAAACAAUGUUCUUAUGUGGUUAAACUGUUUGAUAUUAUUUUACUUGCUGAGAUGUGUCAUCUCACUCUUGCAUUACUCAAUGCAGGUACUUGAUACAUGUUGGGAAUGAG
rnacentral:lncRNA from 1 species